rnacentral:rRNA from 1 species
AGUGAACGCUGGCGGUAGGCCUAACACAUGCAAGUCGAACGGCAGCACAGUAAGAGCUUGCUCUUACGGGUGGCGAGUGGCGGACGGGUGAGGAAUACAUCGGAAUCUACUUUUUCGUGGGGGAUAACGUAGGGAAACUUACGCUAAUACCGCAUACGACCUACGGGUGAAAGCAGGGGAUCUUCUGACCUUGCGCGAUUGAAUGAGCCGAUGUCGGAUUAGCUAGUUGGCGGGGUAAAGGCCCACCAAGGCGACGAUCCGUAGCUGGUCUGAGAGGAUGAUCAGCCACACUGGAACUGAGACACGGUCAAGACUCCUACGGGAGGCAGCAGUGGGGAAUAUUGGACAAUGGGCGCAAGCCUGAUCCAGCCAUACCGCGUGGGUGAAGAAGGCCUUCGGGUUGUAAAGCCCUUUUGUUGGGAAAGAAAAGCAGCAGGUUAAUACCACGCUGUUCUGACGGUACCCAAAGAAUAAGCACCGGCUAACUUCGUG